GAUGAACGCUGGCGGCGUGCUUAAUACAUGCAAGUCGAGCGAUCGGACCAUCGGUAGCAAUACCGGUGGUUGCGGAGCGGCGAACGGGUGAGUAACACGUGACCAACCUGCCCUCGAGACGGGGAUAACGCCGGGAAACCGACGCUAAUACCCGAUGACCCUGCAGUGAGGCAUCUCACAGCAGGCAAAUGGAUUCCGCUCGAGGAGGGGGUCGCGGCCUAUCAGCUUGUUGGCGGGGUAACGGCCCACCAAGGCUUAGACGGGUAGCUGGCGUGAGAGCGCGACCAGCCACACCGGGACUGAGACACGGCCCGGACUCCUACGGGAGGCAGCAGUAGGGAAUCUUGGACAAUGGGCGAAAGCCUGAUCCAGCGACGCCGCGUGGGGGAUGAAGGCCUUCGGGUUGU
rnacentral:rRNA from 1 species